CUCCCGUUACUCAUUGAUUGAUGAAUAAGCAUUUGCAUAAUAUAUUGUCUAUUGAUAAAUACAAGGCACCUCCGUCUCAACGAAGGACUCCACCCCAAUCCCUUAUGAAGGUUGUUAAUUUUCAUCCAGUCAUCCCUCGUGGAAUUCGGAAUCCCAACAUCUCUUUGAGAUAAAUGGUCAAGUUAAAAACCCUUAUAAUAUCUUAAUCUCAAUGGAUACCGUCAUAGUUUCAACCCCUGAAUAUAUUGAUGUUAUAUAGAGAUGAAUAGAUUCCAACUCUAAGAAGGAAUCCACUCUAUACUCUCGUAUGAAGGUUAACUUGGUUUGGUUCGCUUCUUAGUAUACAUUUUCAUUCCAUCAUCAUUCCCGUAUAUAUGAGAAAUCGAUCAUCUCUCGUUGAGGAUAAAGUAUCUCUAAUCUCUUCUUUUGUCGUUAUUCUAAGAAGAACAUGGAAGUAUUUCUGUCUUUAAUGAAUGAAGAUCGGUCUAAGAAUAUGAAAAUCAGAUCUAAAUUAAGUAUGUGUUCCUCCAUGGUUGAACUAAAGGGCUGUUCGAUAAAGUAUCUAAUAAAUUAUAAUUGUUUCCUCCAUUUGAUGAUUUGUUUAAGGAUAAUGUCUUUACUAUUAUUCAAAAAACAUGACAUUUUAUAAUUUUACAGACCUGUUCAAUUAGAGAAUAAUAAUCACGUUACCUACAAAAACUUGUAGUUAUUAUGUGUAUUUCAGAGUACUAACCCAUUUAAAAACAUAUUUAAAUUGUUAUUAUAUUCUUUAUUUUAAUAUAUUUAUUUCAUAUAUAAUUGUAAGGAACUCAAUAAACUCACUUUUCUUUUGA
rnacentral:lncRNA from 1 species